UGUGGGAGCGGGCUUGCUCGCGAUGCUGACACCUCGGUGCAUCUGAUUCACCGAGGUGAUGCAAUCGCGGGCAAGCCCGCUCCCACA
rnacentral:misc_RNA from 1 species